CUACAUGUUAUGUAGCCAAAUAGAUAAUGUUUUGUAUUUUCUGAUAAACCUUUUCAACAGAAGACAUUGGUUUGUCCAUUUGGGCAGCUGCAAGUUUUAGUCAAGCUUUAAAUUACAAAUUUAGGAGAAGGAACGUCUUUGCUGAUUUGCACCAAAUUUCUUCAUGGAAAUUUUAAAUUUGCCACGUAAUGAAAAAGAGGUCCCAACAUCUUUCAGUUCAUGCAAAGCUGGAAUAUUGACGUUUCCUGGACUGUUCCUGAUCAUUCUCACAAAUUCUCCUGUCUGUGUCAGGACUUGAGCAACGGAGGAACCCAGAAUGCAGACUAGCAGGCAGCAUGACGCAUUUUGAGGUUUAAGUGUGUGGAAGAUUAAGACUGAACAUGCACUGGCAGUGGUGGGAAGAGGAUGGUCGACAUGAGAAAGUUAUGGACUUGUGCACAGACAUGAAACAACAAACAAUGUACACUGAGACAUCUGGAAUCCCCAGAAGCAUGACUGUCUCUUUAACCAUUCAUGAGAAAGUUGUGGCCUUCAUGUCUUUAAAAUGUACAUUUUGUAAUUUUAUUUACUCUGCAUUGUUUCUCAAGAGUAAUUUAAUAAAUUUUGUAAUAAUGGAAUAUAAAAUCAUUAUGUAAUGCUUCAUCUUCUGUAUCACCUGUUCUCAGACUCCCAUAGAUCACAUCAUCUGUAAAUACAUAAAUCUUAAGCUAUCAUCUUUUGGGUUGGGUACUGGGCCUUGUAUUAAUACCCCUUGAAUAUUUUACAAAUAAAAAUUUGAAAAGUG